AGAGAGUGCAAGCGUUAAUCGGAAUCACUGGGCGUAAAGCGCGCGUAGGUGGAUACUUUAGUCGGAUGUGAAAGCCCCGGGCUUAACCUGGGAAUUGCACUCGAUACUGGGUAUCUAGAGUAUGGUAGAGGGAAGUGGAAUUUCCGGUGUAGCGGUGAAAUGCGUAGAUAUCGGAAAGAACAUCAGUGGCGAAGGCGGCUUCCUGGACUAAUACUGACACUGAGGUGCGAAAGCGUGGGGGAGCAAACAGGAUUAGAGACCCUGGUAGUCCACGCCGUCAACGAUGAGAACUAGACGUUGGGAGGGUAACCUCUUAGUGUCGAAGCUAACGCGUUAAGUUCUCGCCUGGGGAUACGGCCGCAAGGUU
rnacentral:rRNA from 1 species